rnacentral:rRNA from 1 species
UACGUAGGCAGCGAGCGUUUGUUCGGAGUUACUGGGCGUAAAGAGUGCGUAGGCGGUUUUCUAAGUUUGGUGUGAAAUCUCCCGGCUUAACUGGGAGGGUGCGCCGAAGACUGGAAGGCUCAGAGUGUGGGAGAGGUAAGCGGAAUUCCUGGUGUAGCGGUGAAAUGCGUAGAUAUCAGGAGGAACACCUGCGGUGUAGACGGCUUACUGGACCAUAACUGACGCUGAGGCACGAAAGCGUGGGUAGCAAACAGG